rnacentral:rRNA from 1 species
UACGUAGGGUGCGAGCGUUGUCCGGAUUUAUUGGGCGUAAAGGGCGCGUAGGCGGCCACGCACGUCCGUUGUGAAAUCGCCCGGCUCAACUGGGCGGGGUCAGCGGAUACGGUGUGGCUCGAGCAAGCUAGGGGGCAAUGGAAUUCCCGGUGUAGUGGUGGAAUGCGUAGAUAUCGGGAGGAACACCAGUGGCGAAGGCGGUUGCCUGGAGCUUUGCUGACGCUGAGGCGCGAAAGCGUGGGGAGCGAUCCGG